rnacentral:rRNA from 1 species
CGCUGGCGGCAGGCUUAACACAUGCAAGUCGAGCGGGCAUCGCAAGAUGUCAGCGGCAGACGGGAGAGUAACACGUGGGAACAUGCCCUUCGGUUCGGAAUAACUCAGGGAAACUCGAGCUAAUACCGGAUACGUCCGUAAGGAGAAAGAUUUAUCGCCGAAGGAUUGGCCCGCGUCCGAUUAGCUAGUUGGUGAGGUAACGGCUCACCAAGGCGACGAUCGGUAGCUGGUCUGAGAGGAUGAUCAGCCUCACUGGGACUGAGACACGGCCCAGACUCCUACGGGAGGCAGCAGUGGGGAAUAUUGGACAAUGGGCGCAAGCCUGAUCCAGCCAUGCCGCGUGGGUGAUGAAGGCCCUAGGGUUGUAAAGCUCUUUCGGCGGGGAAGAUAAUGACGGUACCCGCAGAAGAAGCCCCGGCU